rnacentral:rRNA from 1 species
UACGGAGGAGGCAAGCGUUAUCCGGAAUUAUUGGGCGUAAAGCGUCCGUAGAUGGUUUUGUCAGUCUGCUGUCAAAGCACAGGGCUUAACCCUGUAAAGGCAGUGGAAACUACAAGACUAGAGUGCAGUAGGGGCAGAGGGAGUUCCCAGUGUAGCGGUGAAAUGCGUAGAGAUUGGGAAGAACAUCCGUGGCGAAAGCGCUCUGCUGGACUGCAACUGACAUUGAGGGACGAAAGCGUGGGGAGCAAACAGG